rnacentral:rRNA from 1 species
AGCGAACGCUGGCGGCAGGCCUAACACAUGCAAGUCGAACGAAGUCUUCGGACUUAGUGGCGGACGGGUGGGUAACACGUGGGAACGUGCCUUUAGGUUCGGAAUAACUCAGGGAAACUUGUGCUAAUACCGAAUGUGCCCUUCGGGGGAAAGAUUUAUCGCCUCUAGAGCGGCCCGCGUCUGAUUAGCUAGUUGGUGAGGUAAAGGCUCACCAAGGCGACGAUCAGUAGCUGGUCUGAGAGGAUGAUCAGCCACAUUGGGACUGAGACACGGCCCAAACUCCUACGGGAGGCAGCAGUGGGGAAUCUUGCGCAAUGGGCGAAAGCCUGACGCAGCCAUGCCGCGUGAAUGAUGAAGGUCUUAGGAUUGUAAAAUUCUUUCACCGGGGACGAUAAUGACGGUACCCGGAGAAGAAGCCCCGGCUAACUUCGUGCCAGCCGCCGCAGUAAGAC